rnacentral:lncRNA from 1 species
AGGAACAUCCCUCCAUGGCCUCUGCAUCAGCUCCUGCUUCCUGACCUACCUGCCUGAGUUCCAGUCCUGACUUCCUUUGGUGAUGAACAGCAGCAUGGAAGUAAGAAGACUCGUGAAGUUGGAGAUGUGAUUGGAAAGCACACAUGCCAAGAGCCUGGACGUGGAUGAAGCUGUGCAAGGACUUUGAUCUAGGGCCUCAUGCAUGCUAAUGUACUCUACCACUGAUCAGAGCUCCCCAUCCACUCAUAUACAUGAAUUAUUUUCCCAUCUUAAGAUUGGAAGCAAAACCCAAGGCUACACAUCUAGAAAGGACUAGUGCCUUGCCAAGUUACAAAUGAGUGCAAGAGCUGCUAUCAAACAAAGUGUUGCCUGGAAGCCACUGGAACCACCUGUAAAAGGAACUUGAAGUCAGAGCAGUGAACUUGGAGAACUCACCGCUCAAAGCAGAAAUCUUGGUGAAGCAUAGAGAGAACCAUUGCAGUUUUCUAAGGACAUAUCAUGAAGGUUAUUGUUCUACAGUUUCUGUGAUCCUGAUGUUAAGUGGAAGCACAUUAUACUUAUCUCUCUUGCACAUGGCA